UACGUAGGGUGCAAGCGUUGUCCGGAAUUAUUGGGCGUAAAGAGCUCGUAGGCGGUUUGUUGCGUCGGCUGUGAAAUCCCGAGGCUCAACCUCGGGUCUGCAGUCGAUACGGGCAGACUAGAGUGUGGUAGGGGAGAUCGAAUUCCUGGUGUAGCGGUGAAAUGCGCAGAUAUCAGGAGGAACACCGGUGGCGAAGGCGGAUCUCUGGGCCAUUACUGACGCUGAGGAGCGAAAGCGUGGGGAGCGAACAGG
rnacentral:rRNA from 1 species